GGGGAUGAUAUAGAAUUCUACUUGGAGACUUCGUCAUACUUCGAUCGCUAUCCGGGAGGUGCUUAUAACUUCCGCAAUCAAUAAUAAGCACAACAACUGCUAACACUCGUGUUGCUAAAGGUCUUGCAGCUUUCAAGAAAGCUCUUGCUCCUACUACUCUCGCAACUGCGUAAUAGUAAAACGUAGCCUCCCUUCGGGGAUGAGUGCCGGCUGGCCUGCUACAAAUCUGAGAGUGUAUCUAUCUCGUGCAUCUCUUAUACCCAGAGGUCUCUCCUCUCUGAACUCCUAAUACUUUCGGACAGAGAACGAGUAGUAUAUUCGGUCGUAUUCUCGAGAAUAUUUUUGGUUCUAUUUAAGUUUUCGAGUAUUCAAAAGAAUCUAUGAUAGUAGACGUCGAGGGUGACCUCUGAGCACGCCGGUGCGAUUCCGACCAUCUCCACCA
rnacentral:tmRNA from 5 species